UACGGAGGAGGCAAGCGUUAUCCGGAAUUAUUGGGCGUAAAGCGUCCGCAGGUGGCACUUCAAGUCUGCUGUCAAAGACCGGGGCUUAACUUCGGAAAGGCAGUGGAAACUGAACAGCUAGAGUAUGGUAGGGGCAGAGGGAAUUCCUGGUGUAGCGGUGAAAUGCGUAGAGAUCAGGAAGAACAUCGGUGGCGAAGGCGCUCUGCUGGACCAUAACUGACACUCAGGGACGAAAGCUAGGGGAGCGAAUGGG
rnacentral:rRNA from 1 species